CCCUGAUGUUAGCGGCGGACGGGUGAGUAACACGUGGGUAACCUGCCUGUAAGACUGGGAUAACUCCGGGAAACCGGGGCUAAUACCGGAUGGUUGUUUGAACCGCAUGGUUCAAACAUAAAAGGUGGCUUCGGCUACCACUUACAGAUGGACCCGCGGCGCAUUAGCUAGUUGGUGAGGUAACGGCUCACCAAGGCAACGAUGCGUAGCCGACCUGAGAGGGUGAUCGGCCACACUGGGACUGAGACACGGCCCAGACUCCUACGGGAGGCAGCAGUAGGGAAUCUUCCGCAAUGGACGAAAGUCUGACGGAGCAACGCCGCGUGAGUGAUGAAGGUUUUCGGAUCGUAAAGCUCUGUUGUUAGGGAAGAACAAGUACCGUUCGAAUAGGGCGGUACCUUGACGGUACCUAACCAGAAAGCCACGGCUAACUACGUGCCAGCAGCCGCGGUAAUACGUAGGUGGCAAGCGUUGUCCGGAAUUAUUGGGCGUAAAGGGCUCGCAGGC
rnacentral:rRNA from 2 species